rnacentral:lncRNA from 1 species
AUGGAGGUGGUUCUAGGUUGCAAAGAUUUUGAAGAUUCUAAGGCUGCAAGGACAUGUCAGCGAGUGAACGGGUUAACGGGUCCGCGAGUUAACGAGUUUGCGAGUUAACGGGAUGAGCUACAUAGAUCAGAAGGUUCCGGAGACGUUAUAUGUGAAAAUAUGUUGGAAAAGGAGUAGAUGAAUACUCGACUGCGGAUAUGGAUGGCAUUCGCGAAGAUUGGUCGACUUAUGCGGUUACCUCUAUUUUUAAGUGACAAAUUGUAUUUUAGGUGUUGACGAUAUAUUGACAAACAAUUCUUUUUUGUGUUAAUGUUAGAAUAUUUGUAGUAUAUUUGACAAAUGAUUAUGUAAUGGAUUGUUUUGGUAUAUAAUAUGUGUGUAUUUGUU